rnacentral:rRNA from 1 species
GACGAACGCUGGCGGCGUGCUUAACACAUGCAAGUCGAACGGUGAAGCGCCUUCCUUUUUGGUGGGUGUGGAUGAGUGGCGAACGGGUGAGUAACACGUGAGUAACCUGCCCCCUUCUUCUGGAUAACCGCAUGAAAGUGUGGCUAAUACGGGAUAUUCUGGGUCUGUCGCAUGAUGGGUCUGGGAAAGAUAUUGUUUCGGUGGGGGAUGGGCUCGCGGCCUAUCAGCUUGUUGGUGGGGUGAUGGCCUACCAAGGCGGUGACGGGUAGCCGGCCUGAGAGGGUGGACGGUCACACGGGGACUGAGACACGGCCCAGACUCCUACGGGAGGCAGCAGUGGGGAAUAUUGCACAAUGGGCGCAAGGCUGAUGCAGCGACGCCGCGUGGGGGAUGGAGGCCUUCGGGUUGUGAACCUCUUUCGCCAGUGAAGCAGGCCUGCCUCGUUUGUGGGUGGGUUGACGGUAGCUGGAUAAGAAGCGCCGGCUAACUACGUG